rnacentral:antisense_RNA from 1 species
AUUGUGGGCAGGGCCGUGGGAGAGCUGAGCGAGGAGAAGCUGCAGGAAGAGCUCGCGGACUCUUGAGAAUCAGCAGGGGGAGUCUCCCGCAUUGACUUCAUAACCAAGUUCUGGGUCCCUGCCACUGGAGUGCCUGAUGAGACAAAACGGCUCCUCGUCCUGCAUCCCCGCUGCUACUUCCAGAAUUCAGGCCUCGUGGCCUGGAGCCUGCACUGUUCCAUGAGCCCCCUGACCAACCUGGAGGCCUCUGUCUUUCUUCCCUCGGUGAGAUGCGCCUACUUCUCCCUGGAGAAGCUCGAGGAAGCAGAAAUGCUGGAGAUGAGACCCAGCACACCCUGCCUGCAUGGCGCUGUGCUGCACCUUCACUCUGGUCACGGGUCUGGCAGUCGGCUCACCAAUUCCUCCCGCUUCCCUGGGACUCGCCGGCUUUUAGCACUGCAAUUCACUCAGCAAACUGGGACUGUUGGUCACCCU